AUUGAACGCUGGCGGCAUGCCUUACACAUGCAAGUCGAGCGGUAACGCGGGGCAACCUGGCGACGAGUGGCGAACGGGUGAGUAAUGCAUCGGAACGUGCCCAGUUGUGGGGGAUAACUGCUCGAAAGAGCAGCUAAUACCGCAUACGACCUGAGGGUGAAAGCGGGGGAUCGCAAGACCUCGCGCAAUUGGAGCGGCCGAUGUCGGAUUAGCUAGUUGGUGGGGUAAAGGCCCACCAAGGCGACGAUCCGUAGCUGGUCUGAGAGGACGACCAGCCACACUGGGACUGAGACACGGCCCAGACUCCUACGGGAGGCAGCAGUGGGGAAUUUUGGACAAUGGACGCAAGUCUGAUCCAGCCAUGCCGCGUGCGGGAAGAAGGCCUUCGGGUUGUAAACCGCUUUUGUCAGGGAAGAAAUCUUCUGGGUUAAUACCUCGGGAGGAUGACGGUACCUGAAGAAUAAGCACCGGCUAACUACGUGCCAGCAGCCGCGGUAAAAC
rnacentral:rRNA from 1 species